rnacentral:rRNA from 1 species
GACGAACGCUGGCGGCGUGCUUAACACAUGCAAGUCGAACGGAAAGGCCCCCACUUUUUUGGUGGGGGUGCUCGAGUGGCGAACGGGUGAGUAACACGUGGGUGAUCUGCCCUGUACUUCGGGAUAAGCUUGGGAAACUGGGUCUAAUACCGGAUAGGACCAUGGUUUAGUGUCUCAUGGUGGAAAAAUUAUUGUUUUGGUGCAGGAUGAGCUCGCGGCCUAUCAGCUUGUUGGUGGGGUAAUGGCCUACCAAGGCGUCGACGGGUAGCCGGCCUGAGAGGGUGGACGGCCACAUUGGGACUGAGAUACGGCCCAGACUCCUACGGGAGGCAGCAGUGGGGAAUAUUGCACAAUGGGCGCAAGCCUGAUGCAGCGACGCCGCGUGGGGGAUGACGGCCGUCGGGUUGUAAACUCCUUUCGUUAGGGACGAAGCCGCACCUUUUUGGGGUGUGGUGACGGUACCUUUGUUAAGAAGCACCGGCUAACUACGUG